rnacentral:rRNA from 1 species
UACGUAGGUCCCGAGCGUUGUCCGGAUUUAUUGGGCGUAAAGCGAGCGCAGGUGGUUUAUUAAGUCUGGUGUAAAAGGCAGUGGCUCAACCAUUGUAUGCAUUGGAAACUGGUAGACUUGAGUGCAGGAGAGGAGAGUGGAAUUCCAUGUGUAGCGGUGAAAUGCGUAGAUAUAUGGAGGAACACCGGUGGCGAAAGCGGCUCUCUGGCCUGUACUGACACUGAGGCUCGAAAGCGUGGGGAGCAAACAGG